UUAAGUUCAGCGGGUAUUCCUACCUGAUCCGAGGUCAACCUUUGUACUGUCUCAGUGGGUUUCUUUCACGGCAGGCGCCCGCCGCGGGCCCUGAGCGAGGCAAAAGCUACUACGCUCGGGUUCGCGGCGAGCCCGCCACUGGAAUUCGGGGCCUACGGCGCACGUAGGGGCCCCAACACCAAGCGGGGCUUGAGGGGUUG
rnacentral:misc_RNA from 1 species